UUUUGCUGCAGUUCUUUGUGUAUCUGAGGCCCUUGAAGAAAGCUUGCAGAUGAAAAGCUUGAAAUGCAUUCUUAAGUGCUUGAAGCUGUCAGCUUCUUGAAGGGCUACAGCCCUUUGGCCUCAUGGAUACAGUAUUUCAGGAAAUCCUUCAGGAUUCUGCCUUGGAAGGAGCCAUAUGAUCAUGGAGUAACAUGUCAGGAGCUGUUAGACGAAAUCAUGCUGGCUGUAUAUAGCAGUCUUGCUGCAAGAUCUUGGACACUUUUCACACACUGAACUUCAGAGGCUCAGACUGUGGGGGUUUUUCUUGGAUCUCAGAGGGUGACAAGAUAAGGCUGUGUGUACAACUUCAGGCUUGGAGGCCAUUAGUGGGAUCUGAUGGGUGCCUCCCAAUCUCCUAUAACAAAAAAAAGUGUGUGCCAAACUUCAGAGUACAGAUAGUGAUAAAAUAAGGGAAGGUUCAAAGCAGACAUAAGGUUUGGUUGUAGGUGGAGCAGACUCUCCCACUCUCACUGUGCUGCCUGUGUAGACCACAGACUAAUCUGUUAGGGUCCUGCAGACCCCAGUAGGAAAUACUUUCUUUCUCCCCUCUCAUCCACACCUAUUCUCCUCAUCACCACAAAUCCAUCACCCUAUGGCCCACAGACUUCUUCUGGGCUUGAGAAACAUUUCAUGGACUCCCAAAGAUGAAAAACAAAUCUGUUGAUGACAGACUAGGAUUUGUUAAUAGGACUAUGGUCUGCUGAGUGUACAGGCCUACCUGUACAUAUUAUAUGUGUUGCUUUCUUUCUGAAAAAUAGCAAAGGUAACUUAUCUGUAAUUGUAAUCACAGCAUUUCUUCUCAUUAUCUUAAAAGUAUUGCUACAACACACUUCUUUUCUUGCCUGUGCCUUGGAUCUGAAUCCAAUACAGGUCAGUCUAGCGUCAUGUUUAUAGAUAUUCCUGAUUAGUUCUUAGCUUUCAUUACUGAUCCUAUUGACAUGGGCCAUAUCUGUAAAUUAAUUUGCAUUGAAUAAAUGAAAACAAGGAAAAGUUGGGGAAAUUAAAUCCCACC
rnacentral:lncRNA from 1 species